AGUGGGGCCACUUCAGACAUUCUCUUCUUUUAAUGGUCGCAGCCUUCAGUCCUUCUUCUUCUUGAUCGAGACUCGGACGUGCUGUAAUAAUCGAUCAACGAAUAUCAUCGUUGUGAUCUCUCAAUUCACUGGAAUUUCGAGGAAGUGCCCAACCAUAUCGUUCUUCACAGUGACACUGUUGCUGUCGCGGGCAAUCAGCAUGAUUUCAGCGCAACGUCUAACGGAAAACGAUGUUUCUACGAUGAUGGACCCGACGUCCAAGAUGUCGCUGAAAGACGCCUGCUUCGACUUUGCGCUGGACAGCUCUAAUUGAGUCGAAGGAUAAUAUCUUCUUGAGCUUACAUAACAUCUAUGAGCUUAGCGUAUUUCACGGCCCGUGGCACAACCGAGAGCUCCUUUAAACGGGCCCUUCGUAUUUUCGAAUAGUUGUCCAAUGUUGACGUGCAAUGUUGUUGCGCUUUCGAAAAAUCGCUCAAUCGGUUGCGUUCCCAGAUAAACGAAUCCACGGAUUAUGAGUACAAAGUCGUCAAUAAAUUUUAAAUCACAAAUUCUAGGAAGCUACGCGAUUGCAUGUUCGAUUUCUAGAUCGAACGAGAGCUGCAGCUGAUUUAGUUUAGAGAAUAUAAAAUCAACUGUUAUACGCUCUGAAUGCCGGGGAACUGCUGUCACCCGGAGCAGCUGAUUUGCGCGGCUUUGUCGCUGACUUUGGCAAGCCGAGCCUACAUCUCGGCGAUGCCAUUCAUCGAGCGCGCAUUGAAGUCACUGAGGAAGGAACCACUGCGGCCGCGGCCACCGCGAUCUUCACCUUUCGCUCCAGCCGACCCACCGAGCUCGCCAUCUUCAACGCCAAUCAUCCAUUCAUCUACCUGAUCUACGACAAGCAUGAUCGUACCGUUCUCUUCACCAGGAUUUUCGGUUCU